GUGCCAGCAGCCGCGGUAAUACCGGCGCCUCAAGUGGUAGUCGCUUUUAUUGGGCCUAAAACGUCCGUAGCCGGUCUGAUACAUUCGUGGGUAAAUCAACCAGCUUAACUGGUUGAAUUCUGCGAGGACGGUCAGACUUGGGACCGGGAGAGGUGUGGGGUACGCUCAGGGUAGGGGUAAAAUCCUGUCAUCCUGAGCGGACCACCUGUUGCGAAGGCGCCACACUAGAACGGUUCCGACGGUCAGGGACGAAGCCUAGGGGCACGAACCGGAUUAGAUACCCGGGUAGUCCUAGGUGUAAACGCUGUGAACUUGGUGUCGGGGAUGCUCCAUGGGUCCUCGGUGCCGGAGUGAAGAUGAUUAAGUUUCACUGCCUGGGAGAGUACGGUCGCUAGGCUGAAACUUAAAGGAAUUGGCGGGGGAGCACUGCAACGGGAGGAGCGUGCGGUUUAAUUGGAUUCAACGCCGGAAAACUCACCAAGGCCGACUGUUAGAUGAAGAUCAGCGUAAUGAGCUUAUCGGAUUUUCAGAGAGGUGGUGCAUGGCCGUCGUCAGUUCGUACUGUAAAGCGUUCUGUUAAGUCAGAUAACGAACGAGACCCUCAUCUCUAUUUGCUACCUGGAUCUCCGGAGCCGGCGCACUAUAGAGAGACCGCUGGUGUGAAACCAGAGGAAGGGGAGGGCAACGACAGGUCAGUAUGCUCCCGAAUGUUAUGGGCUACACGCGCGAUGCAAAGGACAGGACAAUGGGAUGCUAGUCCGAGAGGCAUUCACGCUAACCCGAAACCUGUUCAUAGUUCGGAUUGAGGGCUGUAACUCGCCCUCAUGAAGCUGGAUUCCGUAGUAAUCGUGUUUCAAAAAAGCACGGUGAAUAUGCCCCUGCUCCUUGCACACACCGCCCGUC
rnacentral:rRNA from 1 species